AGCCUCUCACGAUAUAAAGCCAGGUGGGUUUGUCGUGGCUUUUCUCAGCAACAAGGAAUUGAUUACGAAGAAACCUUCUCUCCUGUUGUUAAACCUAGCACCAUUCGCACCGUUCUUAGUGUUGCUGUCUCCUCUUCAUGGCCCAUUCACCAACUUGAUGUUAAAAAUGCUUUCCUCCAUGGUUCCCUUCAAGAAACUGUCUACUGCCAGCAACCUCUGGGUUUUGAAAAUCCAUCCUUUCCAACUCAUGUAUGUCUUCUUCAGAAAUCUCUCUACGGUCUUAAACAGGCCCCACGAGCUUGGUUUCAACGCUUCUCCUCCUUCAUUCAAACAAUAGGCUUCACUCCAUCUCUCUCCGGCACCUCUCUUUUUGUGUAUCAUCAAACUUCUGACACUGCCUAUUUACUUCUCUAUGUAGAUGAUAUCAUUCUUACCGCCUCCUCUCAAAAGUUCUUAGAUCAUAUUGUCUCCCUUCUUAGAUCUGAAUUUUCUAUGACUGACCUAGGACUCCUUCAUCAUUUCUUAGGCAUUACUGUUGUUUGA
rnacentral:rRNA from 1 species